CUGAGGCAAAGAUGACUACUGGAAGGGAGCACCGACAGAGGCAAGUUCUGUUGUUCUUUCUCUUACUGGGAGUGGCUGGGGCAGGCUGGGAACCCCACCAUUACUUUGUGAUGGAGGAAAUGCCCAGUGGUACGGUUUUGGCGGACCUAGUCAAGGACCUAGGGCUGGGAGUUGCGGAGCUAGCUGCUCGAGGAGCCCAGGUGGUCUUUGAGGAUAACGAAUCACGCUUGCAGCUUGAUCUACAAAGUGGGAAGCUAAUUUUAAAUGAAAAACUGGACCGGGAGGAGCUGUGCGGACCCACUGAGCCCUGUGUCACUCGUUUCCAAGUGUUACUGAAAAAUCCACUGGAAAUAUUUCGAGCUGAGCUCCGAGUGGGAGACAUAAACGAUCAUUCUCCCGAGUUUCCUGAAAGAGAAAUGACCCUGAAAAUCAGAGAGAGCAGCCCUGUUGGUACCGUGUUUCUUCUUAAAAACGCUCAGGAUCUGGAUGUGGGCAACAACAGCAUUCAGAACUAUAAUAUCAGUACCAACUCUCAUUUCCACGUGUCCAUCCGAAGCCGAGGAGACGGGAGGAAACACCCAGAGCUGGUGCUGGACAGAGAGCUCGAUCGCGAGGAAGAGUCAGAGUUCAGAUUAACUCUGACAGCGCAGGAUGGCGGUUCUCCGCCCAGGACUGGCACCUCCCAAAUCCGGAUUGUUAUCUUGGAUGUAAAUGACAAUGCCCCGAAAUUUUCACAGGCUCUGUAUCAGGUGCAAAUCCUAGAGAACAGCCCCCCGGGUUCCCUGGUUGCUAAGGUCUCUGCUAAGGAUUUAGAUACUGGGACAAACGGGGAGAUAUCAUACUCUCUUUUUCAUAGUUCUCAGGAGAUGAGCAAAACAUUUGAACUGAACGUCCUGUCAGGAGAAAUUCGACUAAUUAAAACACUGGACUUUGAGACAACAUCUUCAUAUGAAGUAGAUGUAGAGGCAGUGGAUGGCGGAGGGCUCUCUGGGAAAUGCUCUGUUUCUAUUCAGGUGGUGGAUGUCAAUGAUAAUUACCCAGAACUAACUAUAUCAUCGCUCACCAGUCCCAUCCCAGAAAAUUCACCAGAGACAGAAGUGGGUCUGUUUCGGGUUCGGGACCGAGACUCUGGGGAAAAUGGAAGGACAGUUUGUUCCAUCCAGGAUGGUGUGCCCUUUACCCUGGAACCUUCCAUUGAGAACUUUUAUAGACUGGUGACAGAGGGCCCUCUGGACAGAGAGAGCAGAGCCGAGUACAACAUCACCAUCACUGUCUCCGACAUGGGCUCACCCAGGCUCACAACCCAGCACACCAUAACAGUGCAGGUGUCCGACAUCAACGACAAUGCCCCCGCCUUCACCCAAUCCUCCUACACCCUGUCUGUCCGCGAGAACAACAGCCCUGCCCUGCACAUAGGCACCAUCAGAGCCACAGACUCAGACUCUGGCUCCAAUGCCCACAUCACCUACUCGCUGCUGCCGCCCGAUGACCCGCAGCUGUCUCUCAACUCUCUAGUCUCCAUCAAUGCAGACAAUGGGCAGCUGUUCGCGCUCAGGGCGCUGGACUAUGAGGUCAUGCAGAACUUCGAGUUCCGAGUGGCCGCCACAGACCAAGGCUCCCCUGCACUCAGCAGCCAGGCGCUGGUGCGCGUGCUGGUGCUGGACGACAAUGACAAUGCGCCCUUCGUGCUCUACCCUCUGCAGAACGCCUCUGCGCCCUUCACAGAGCUGCUGCCCAGGGCGGCGGAGCCUGGCUACCUGGUCACCAAGGUGGUGGCAGUGGACCGCGACUCUGGCCAGAACGCCUGGCUGUCAUUCCAGCUGCUCAAGGCCACGGAGCCAGGGCUGUUCAGCGUGUGGGCGCACAAUGGCGAGGUGCGCACCACCAGGCUGCUGAGUGAGCGCGAUGCCCCCAAGCACAGGCUGCUGCUGCUGGUCAGGGACAAUGGCGAUCCUCAGCGCUCUGCCAGUGUCACUCUGCAUGUGCUGCUGGUGGAUGGCUUCUCCCAGCCCUACCUGCCUCUGCCAGAGGUGGCGCGCGACCCCGCGCAGGAUGAUGAAGAUGUGCUCACGCUGUACCUGGUCAUCGCCUUGGCGUCUGUGUCUUCUCUCUUCCUUUUGUCCGUGCUGCUAUUCGUGGGGGUGAGGCUGUGCAGGAGGGCCAGGGCGGCUUCUCUGGGUGUCUGCUCUGUGCCUGAGGGACAUUUUCCUGGCCACCUGGUGGACAUCAGCGGCGCAGAAACCCUGUCCCAGAGCUACCAAUACGAGGUGUGUCUGACUGGAGACUCUCAGAGUAAUGAUUUCAGAUUCUUGAAGCCAGUGUUUUCCAGUGCUCUAGACCAAAAUUCUAGUAGGCAGCCAGGCGCUAGUCCACCUUUCCCAAGUAUUUCAGGCAUGUGAAACUUCACAAUUCACUAACUGUAUAAUUCUCUUUUGUGUUUGCAUUUUCUUUUUAAAUUUGGUAGUAAAUUUUACUUGUAUUUGUUUUUUUUUCCUUUUCUCUACUAGUUUAAAUAGCGUUGUUUGCUUGUUUGCUGGCUUGUUUACUGUAUAAGCAUUUUUUUUUCAAUUUUGUUGUUAUUUAACAUUUUACAUCAGGACACUUCGUGUUCCUGAUUGAAUUCACAGUCGUUGCUCUUAAUUUCGUAUUUCUUCUACUGGACACAAUUCUAACCUUAAAAGUAUAUUUCCUGACCUAGGAGAAUAGAUUAGUUUACAGAGUUCUAUGUAGUUUGUGGGAGGCCUUGGGUUGGCUCCUCCUUUCAUUCCAGCAGUUGGAGGUGGAAGCAAGCUAUCAGGAGUUCAAGGUCAGAGAAAAUGAAAACUCAGCCUGGCAUAUAUGAUGAAGGAGGUAAAUUUAGUCUCAAGAAAUAAAAAUACAUUUUUGAUGUAUGACAACAUAGAAAAAUAUAUUAUUUCUCUUAAAUUAUAUUUAAAACAUACUUCACCUUAAAAUUGAAAGUCUUCAGUUUUGUUAUUUGCAUGGGUAUGACUUCAGUAGCCUCAUUUGUAUUUUUCUUGGAAGAAGAUCCCUUGACUGUGUUUUCUAUUCUCCAACACUGUAAAUAUCAUCUCAUGAAAAAUAUAUCCACAUUGCCUGUUCUUUCUCAUCUAAAUUAACAAAGAAAAGGCUAAACAGCUCCAUUACCCUUAGCUGAUGGAAGUGCUUGGCAUGUUGCCAAAACCCAGACUGCCUGUGUUCAGGGAGUUUCUGUGAAGCCAAUAGACUACAGGAAGAGUGAUAUAUUUCUUGCUGUUAUCACUUCUUGUAGUGAGGAAAUUCUGGUGUAAACCCCAAAUUCUGGACUCAGGGUGGCUUCUGGCAGUACAGCAUGCUGACAUCUCCCAGCUUUGAAUAAUGAAUUGAUAAGGAAUUUGGAAGAAAAUGCAUUAUAGAAUUGACAUAGUUAACCAAACACCUUUUAGUAAGAUUAUGUUGAUGUAGUAUUAAAUUAUAUAGAGAAAUUAUUAAAAAAAAUGAUGAUCCCAAAGAUGUUCAGUCCGGAUCCCUAGAACUUAUAAAUAUUACUUUGCAUUAUAAAGAUUAAGCCCAAACAAUAAUAAGGUUGUUAGUAAAAUAAACUUAAAAUAGAGAGUGUGUUCUAAAUUAUUUCGGUGGGCCUUACAGGACCAGUGAGAUGCUUUUAAAAGCAAAGUUGAAUCUACCUCGAGAUGAAGACGAAUCAUCAGGCAUAGUGGCUCACACCUUUAAUCCCAGCACUUGGGAAGCAGAGGUUCCUCUCUACGCUUGGUGUUCGUGGUUGAAGAUAUAAUCUGUCAGCUUUUUGCUCUGCAUGCCUGAUGCCAUACUUCCCCAAACACUGUGGACUCUCCCUCUGGAAAUGUAAGCAAAAAUAAACUCUUCCUUCUUUCAGGA